rnacentral:rRNA from 1 species
AGUGAACGCUGGCGGUAGGCCUAACACAUGCAAGUCGAACGGCAGCACAGUAAGAGCUUGCUCUUACGGGUGGCGAGUGGCGGACGGGUGAGGAAUACAUCGGAAUCUACUUUUUCGUGGGGGAUAACGUAGGGAAACUUACGCUAAUACCGCAUACGACCUACGGGUGAAAGCAGGGGAUCUUCGGACCUUGCGCGUUUGAAUGAGCCGAUGUCGGAUUAGCUAGUUGGCGGGGUAAAGGCCCACCAAGGCGACGAUCCGUAGCUGGUCUGAGAGGAUGAUCAGCCACACUGGAACUGAGACACGGUCCAGACUCCUACGGGAGGCAGCAGUGGGGAAUAUUGGACAAUGGGCGCAAGCCUGAUCCAGCCAUACCGCGUGGGUGAAGAAGGCCUUCGGGUUGUAAAGCCCUUUUGUUGGGAAAGAACAGCAGCAGGUUAAUCCACCGCUGUUCUGACGGUACCCAAAGAAUAAGCACCGGCUAACUUCGUG